UGGCAGUGUUGGCAAAGGAGGUUGAGAACUGUGCAAUCAAAUAAGGAAUAGGCACAGAGAAGAAGUGGAACCUAUUGGACACACUGAGAGCAUCCAGACAACAUGAACAUUCAAGGAGCAGGACUUAUCAGUCUAGGAUGGGAUCAGGCCAAGAAGGUUGUAAAGUAACGUAUCCUGGAUAUGGAACUUCAAAAGGAAGUGGAAGGCAUUAGAAGUGGUAUCUAUAUAGGGAAUGAAUUCAUCAACUGCAGACCAGCAAAUUACCUUGGUCAGAGUUGAUAUAUUAACUGAGACCAAGCAUACUGGAUCUGGACAGCCUUGAUGAAGAAUUGGCAAAGGAGACUGAGCCUAAAGAGCUUUUAUCAUGAAUAGCAGGUCUUUCUUCUUCUUAGCCAGAGGCAUUCUGAAAAGGGCAGUGGGUUCAGCCAGUCAGUGCACAGGCAGAAAGCAGAUAUGGGAAGAGACGCUCAAAUUUUUCUUAUGAUUUUAUAUAUUUUUGUCUAUGGUCACACUGAGAGAGAGAGAGAGAGAGAGAGAGAGAGAGAGAGAGUGUGUGUGUGUGUGUGUGUGUGUGUGUGUGUGCGCGCGCGCUUCAGAGACCUUUCUAUAGAGCAGCCCAGCAGCUUACUGCUGUAGGUUUGCCUGCAAAUGUUUUGAGUAGGCUUAGAGAUCAAUAUCAGCAGUCCUACUAACAUGGCCUGUUAUAUAAGAUUUUAGUUCACCUAUCAUUUCCCCCCUUUCUCCCUACAUCUUAUACACAGCAUUAUAUUAUUUUCCAAAUUCAAAUAACAGUUGCUCUAUUGCCUGCCCUUCAA